rnacentral:rRNA from 1 species
AUUCCGGUUGAUCCUGCCGGCGGCCACCGCUAUUGGAAUACGAUUAAGACAUGCGAGUCGAGAGACAUCUGGUCUCGGCAGACCGCUCAGUAACACGUGGACAACAUGCCCUUGGGUGGGGGAUAACCUCGGGAAACUGAGACUAAUACCCCAUAGACCUAGGAUGCUGGAAUGCUUCUAGCUCUAAAGCUCCGGCGCCCAAGGAUUGGUCUGCGGCCUAUCAGGUAGUAGUGGGUGUAACGGACCCACUAGCCUAUGACGGGUAUGGGCCUUGAAAGAGGGAGCCCAGAGAUGGACUCUGAGACAUGAGUCCAGGCCCUACGGGGUGCAGCAGUCGCGAAAACUUCGCAAUGGGAGCAAUC